rnacentral:rRNA from 1 species
UAGGGAAUCUUCCGCAAUGGACGCAAGUCUGACGGAGCAACGCCGCGUGAGUGAAGAAGGUUUUCGGAUCGUAAAACUCUGUUGUAAGAGAAGAACAAAUUGUAGAGUAACUGCUACAGUCUUGACGGUAUCUUACCAGAAAGCCACGGCUAACUACGUGCCAGCAGCCGCGGUAAUACGUAGGUGGCAAGCGUUGUCCGGAUUUAUUGGGCGUAAAGCGCGCGCAGGUGGUUUAGAAAGUCUGAUGUGAAAGCCCACGGCUCAACCGUGGAGGGUCAUUGGAAACUAAUAAACUUGAGUGCAGGAGAGAAAAGUGGAAUUCCUAGUGUAGCGGUGAAAUGCGUAGAGAUUAGGAGGAACACCGGUGGCGAAAGCGGCUUUUUGGCCUGCAACUGACACUGAGGCGCGAAAGCGUGGGUAGCAAACAGG